rnacentral:rRNA from 1 species
UACGAAGGGGGCUAGCGUUGCUCGGAAUUACUGGGCGUAAAGGGCGCGUAGGCGGACAGUUUAGUCAGAGGUGAAAGCCCAGGGCUCAACCUUGGAAUUGCCUUUGAUACUGGCUGUCUUGAGUUCGGGAGAGGUGAGUGGAAUGCCGAGUGUAGAGGUGAAAUUCGUAGAUAUUCGCAAGAACACCAGUGGCGAAGGCGGCUCACUGGCCCGGUACUGACGCUGAGGUGCGAAAGCGUGGGGAGCAAACAGG